ACGAACGCUGGCGGCGUGCCUAAUACAUGCAAGUCGAACGGUCUUUCUAUGGAAGCUUGCUUCCACUGAGAAGAUAGUGGCGAACGGGUGAGUAACACGUGGGUAACCUGCCCAUAAGAGGGGGAGUAACAUCCGGAAACGGGUGCUAAUACCGCAUAGUUUUCUUGAUCGCAUGAUCGGGAAAGGAAAGACGGCCUUUGUGCUGUCGCUUAUGGAUGGACCCGCGGCGUAUUAGUUAGUUGGUGAGGUAACGGCUCACCAAGACGAUGAUACGUAGCCGACCUGAGAGGGUGAUCGGCCACAUUGGGACUGAGACACGGCCCAAACUCCUACGGGAGGCAGCAGUAGGGAAUCUUCCGCAAUGGACGAAAGUCUGACGGAGCAACGCCGCGUGAGUGAAAGAAGGUUUUCGGAUCGUAAAACUCUGUUGUCAGAGAAGAACAAGUUGGAGAGUAACUGCUCCAGCCUUGACGGUAUCUGACCAGAAAGCCACGGCUAACUACGUGCCAGCCGCCGC
rnacentral:rRNA from 1 species